rnacentral:rRNA from 1 species
GACAGAGGUGCCGAGCGUUAGGCGGAAUCACUGGGCUUAAAAGCGUGUGUAGGCGGGUCCGUAAGUACCUUGUGGAAAUCCCAACGGCUCAACCGUGGAACUGCUUGGUAUACUGCGGGUCUUGAGCCACCUAGGGGCAAGUGGAACAAACGGUGGAGCGGUGAAAUGCGUAGAUAUCGUUUGGAACGCCAAUGGUGAAAACAACUUGCUGGGGGUGUGCUGACGCUGAGACACGAAAGCCAGGGGAGCAAAACGGG